GACGGAGGUGCCAAGCGUUAGGCGGAAUCACUGGGCUUAAAGCGUGUGUAGGUGGAUGCCUAAGUACCUUGUGAAAUCCCACGGCUUAACCGUGGAACUGCUUGGUAUACUGGGUGUCUUGAGCCAACUAGGGGCAGUCGGAACAAACGGUGGAGCGGUGAAAUGCGUAGAUAUCGUUUGGAACGCCAAUGGUGAAAACAGACUGCUGGGGUUGUGCUGACACUGAGACACGAAAGCCAGGGGAGCGAACGGG
rnacentral:rRNA from 1 species